GGAGGAAUAUUGGGCAAUGGACGAAAGUCUGACCCAGCAACGCCGCGUGAAGGAUGAAGGCCUUCGGGUCGUAAACUUCUUUUGAGGGAGACGAGAAAGGACGGUAUCCCUCGAAUAAGCCACGGCUAACUACGUGCCAGCAGCCGCGGUAAAACGUAGGUGGCGAGCGUUAUCCGGAUUCAUUGGGCGUAAAGAGCUUGUAGGUGGUGCGAUAAGUUGGACGUGAAAACUCCGGGCUUAACUUGGAGAGGCCGUUCAAUACUGUUGUGCUAGAGGGCGUCAGAGGGAAGUGGAAUUCCUGGUGUAGCAGUGAAAUGCGUAGAUAUCAGGAGGAACAUCCGUGGCGAAGGCGGCUUCCUGGGGCGCACCUGACACUGAGAAGCGAAAGCUAGGGGAGCAAACGGGAUUAGAAACCCCGGUAGUCCUAGCUGUAAACGAUGGAUGCUAGGCGUGAGUGGAUCUAACCCCGCUCGUGCCGAAGCUAACGCGUUAAGCAUCCCGCCUGGGAACUACGAGCGCAAGCUUAAAACUCAAAUGAAUUGACGGGGUCAUAGC
rnacentral:rRNA from 1 species